ensembl:snRNA U5 U5 spliceosomal RNA
AGCUCGAGUUUCUCUUCAUUGUCGACAUAAAUCUUUCGCCUUUUACUAAAGAUUUCCGUGAAGGGGAGCUUUACGAGUGACCUGUAUUUUUUGGGGGCUCUGCUCACAGCAGAGCU